rnacentral:tRNA from 1 species
GUGAAUAUAGUUUAAAUAAAACAUUAGAUUGUGGAUCUAGUAACAGAAGCUUAUACCUUCUUAUUUACC